GGGUGCUUGGAUCAUUUUGGUUCAAGCAUUUGCAGGAGCCAAAAAGACGAAAGCCCCGAAUUUUAAUUUACUAAAAUCCGAGGCAGUCUCAAAACCACACAACUUGAUUCUGUCUCCUUUAUAAAGGAGUGUCAAGAGAAAUGACUAAG
rnacentral:antisense_RNA from 1 species